GACGAACGCUGGCGGCGUGCUUAACACAUGCAAGUCGAGCGGUAAGGCCCUUUCGGGGGUACACGAGCGGCGAACGGGUGAGUAACACGUGGGUGACCUGCCCUCAGCUCUGGGAUAAGCCUGGGAAACCGGGUCUAAUACCGGAUAUGACUCCAUGACGCAUGUUGUGGGGUGGAAAGCCUUGUGCGGCUGAGGAUGGGCCCGCGGCCUAUCAGCUUGUUGGUGGGGUGAGGCCUACCAAGGCGACGACGGGUAGCCGGCCUGAGAGGGCGACCGGCCACACUGGGGCUGAGACACGGCCCAGACUCCUACGGGAGGCAGCAGUGGGGAAUCUUGCGCAAUGGGCGAAAGCCUGACGCAGCGACGCCGCGUGAGGGAUGACGGCCUGGUUGUAAC
rnacentral:rRNA from 1 species